CGAUUUCAAGGCAACUAGGAGAAUCCCAUAAAUUCACUCGAUUUACGAUCCAAAUCGGAGAGAUUGGAGCCGACAGAUCCGCCGCGGAGGAUACCAGCAGAGUGCCGGUGGUGCCGACACCGGAAGGAGCCAAUAUGCGUCGUCGGAGAGCAGAGACAAUUCCCCUUGGCCGCUGGGGAGACCUUCUGCGGCGAAGAAUGCAACGACGGAGACACAAGUACGCGAGGGCUCCGCUUCAGAUCCUCUAAAUCGAAAUCUGUGAAUCCGAGUUUGUUGUGUUGAUCGAGGCUGUGUCUGUGAGUGGGCCUUGGGGCCCUGUGAUCUGGUUUGUGAUCCAUGGAUUCCUUCUCUCAAUCAAUUCACCACAAAAAUUAAGACGACAAACAGGAAAUUGGAGGAUUAAAAAUGAGAUUCUUCGUUUUUGUUUGUGGUUUGAUGAACAAUUGCUUUGUGUGUUCUUCUUUUUCGUGGAGAAAUGUAAGCAAAUUUCGACAUGGGUUGUGUUGGCCUCAAAUCUUGGUGUUUGCCCAAUUCACAACCUUUUGUUUAUUUUUAGCCUGCAACUUUGUUGACGGAUCAAAGGGAGCUGAGGUAGAUUAGGGUCCUCAUCGGUCCAACCACAAGCACAUACGGUAUCGGUCUAGUGAACCAAUCACGACCCACUUCGAGCUGGAUGAGCCUUAUCGUAGCUAAGGAGCGGAUUGCAAAAGCAUUUUCAAAGCCGAACAAAUUUCAAAUUGAAGACUUACAUUGAUUCAUUUACAACCGUCUAUGCUCGUGAAAGUUUAUAGUUGUUAUGAGUGAAUACGAAGAGUGUUCGUUCUUUUUGCCUUA